ACGUGUACAUGUUCCCAAGUUUGUUUAAAAAAAUCUAAAUUAAUUAAAAUAGACAUAUGUUUAUUCUAAUAGUCGUUUCAAAUUGUGUUCAAAAUAUUGUGUUUAUCACUAAAUUUGGUUGUCCAACAUUUGCUGCUCUGUCGCACUACUAUUUUUAUGAACGGGCCUGUAAGUUUCUUGAUUCUGAACGAAAGCAAAAAAUAAGAACCUAAAGCGAACGCAUGAAACUUAAACAAAGGCGCAAAACACAAAAUUUGUGAAUGCUUAUGCAACAAGCCAAAGAAAUACCAGAAAAAUACUGCAAAAUACUGUAAUAACAAUAACCCAAACGAGAUGUAAACAAGAACUGACUUUCAUUGCGGGUGUUUGUUUGAACAUGUUUAGUAAAAAUAUGAUGAUGAUAUUGCUGGUGGUGUAAAAUAAAACUGAUGAUUGUUGAUUUUGAAAACGCCUAAAGUGUGCCCUUGUGCAGCAACAACAACAGCAUGAAACAAAGGCACAAAGAAAAGCAAAGUAAAGCAAAGCAAAAGAAA